CUUGCUAAGGCCGAUGGCGACCGGCGCACGGGUGAGUAACACGUAUCCAACCUGCCGUCUACUCUUGGACAGCCUUCUGAAAGGAAGAUUAAUACAAGAUGGCAUCAUGAGUCCACAUGUUCACAUGAUUAAAGGUAUUCCGGUAGACGAUGGGGAUGCGUUCCAUUAGAUAGUAGGCGGGGUAACGGCCCACCUAGUCUUCGAUGGAUAGGGGUUCUGAGAGGAAGGUCCCCCACAUUGGAACUGAGACACGGUCCAAACUCCUACGGGAGGCAGCAGUGAGGAAUAUUGGUCAAUGGGCGCAGGCCUGAGCCAGCCAAGUAGCGUGAAGGAUGACUGCCCUAUGGGUUGUAAACUUCUUUUAUAAAGGAAUAAAGUCGGGUAUGCAUACCCGUUUGCAUGUACUUUAUGAAUAAGGAUCGGCUAACUCCGUGCCAGCAGCCGCGGUAAUACGGAGGAUCCGAGCGUUAUCCGGAUUUAUUGGGUUUAAAGGGAGCGUAGAUGGAUGUUUAAGUCAGUUGUGAAAGUUUGCGGCUCAACCGUAAAAUUGCAGUUGAUACUGGAUAUCUUGAGUGCAGUUGAGGCAGGCGGAAUUCGUGGUGUAGCGGUGAAAUGCUUAGAUAUCACGAAGAACUCCGAUUGCGAAGGCAG
rnacentral:rRNA from 1 species